CACUAGCAUUGUGUGAUGUAUGGAAACCAGAAACUCAUAUUUGGAACUGGAACCAAAUUGACAGUGACGGCUAAAGUAAAACGGGACCCGGAGUAUUACAUAGUUAAGCCACAGAAUAGUGGCAGUGAAGAAAAAGAAUCCUGCCUCGCCACUGGCUUUACAGUUCAAAAUAUCACCGAUACAAUUUGGCCACCUGGUGAGAAAGAAGGAGCAGUUCGGUUUACAGACGAGGCUUAUUACAGCAGGCUCAUACUGAAUGACACCACCGACUGUAAUGUAACCGAUAACUGUGGUACUAAGGCACCUGAAGUGGACAAUUUCAAAUCAGAUGCCAAGACCAACUUCUUCGCACUGAGCAUCUUUUGGAUAAGGGUCCUGCUCUUGAAGGCCAUUGCGUUCAAUAUCUUGAUGACGGCGAAAGUCUGGUUGAGUUAGUGCUUUUUGAAUUUGGUGAUACAAUCCCAAAUUGGAAGCCCUGGAUGAAUUUUGUGCUGUCUGUGUGAAGAAAGAGGAAUGUUCUGCUCAACAUGACAACAUGGUUGUUGAAAUGCAAUGUAAUAUAGGUCUUAUUUGUUCAUUUAAGAAAUAGCUCUUUCCUUUUUUUGUGAUAAAAAAUACUUACUAUUCAAUUCAAUUUAAUUUUAUUUACAUACUUUUUUAAUUCACGCUUUUAACAAUAGACAUUUUCACAAUGUAAUACUCAAAUCUAGCUAUGAUUACUUUUGACUGCUUGUUCAGAAUCUGAAUUCUACUUUCACUUACCUGCACUUAUUAGGUCUGUUUUUUUUCUGUUUAUUAUUAUUUUUACUCACUGCUAUUAAUCCUGUCUUAUCAUUUAUCAUUUAUAUUCCCAUAUUGGCUGAAUCUGCAUCGGUAUCUCUUUAUAAACAUUAACAGAAUAUGUGUAUGACUUAAAGUUGAAGUUGCUAAGAUAUGUGCACAUGCAUAUACUAUGUACGUGGCUUUAUAUGUAUAGAUCAUUGUUCAUUUAUAUUUAGGUAUUGUCUUUUGCACAUCAAAAUAAAUGAUAAGUACAUGAAAUAAUCACUA